rnacentral:rRNA from 1 species
AUUGAACGCUGGCGGCAUGCCUUACACAUGCAAGUCGAACGGUAACGGGUCCUUCGGGAUGCCGACGAGUGGCGAACGGGUGAGUAAUAUAUCGGAACGUGCCCAGUAGUGGGGGAUAACUGCUCGAAAGAGCAGCUAAUACCGCAUACGACCUGAGGGUGAAAGGGGGGGAUCGCAAGACCUCUCGCUCUUGGAGCGGCCGAUAUCAGAUUAGCUAGUUGGUGGGGUAAAGGCUUACCAAGGCCACGAUCUGUAGCCGGUCUGAGAGGGCGACCGGCCACAUUGGGACUGAGACACGGCCCAGACUCCUACGGGAGGCAGCAGUAGGGAAUCUUCCACAAUGGGCGCAAGUCUGACGGAGCAACGCCGCGUGCAUGAAGAAGGUUUUCGGAUCGUAAAACUCUGUUGUUAGGGAAGAACAAGUGCUAGAGUAACUGUUGGCGCGUUGACGGUAUCUAACCAGAAAGCCACGGCUAACUACGUG